rnacentral:rRNA from 1 species
CACGUAGGGCGCAAGCGUUGUCCGGAAUUAUUGGGCGUAAAGAGCUCGUAGGCGGUCUGUUACGUCUGCUGUGAAAACCCAGGGCUUAACCCUGGGCUUGCAGUGGAUACGGGCAGACUAGAGGCAGGUAGGGGAGAAUGGAAUUCCCGGUGUAGCGGUGAAAUGCGCAGAUAUCAGGAAGAACACCCGUGGCGAAGGCGGCUCUCUGGUACGUGACUGACGCUGAGACGCGAAAGCGUGGGGAGCAAACAGG